rnacentral:rRNA from 1 species
CAGCAGCCGCGGGAACACGGAGGGUGCAAGCGUUAUCCGGAUUCACUGGGUUUAAAGGGUGCGUAGGCGGAUCUGUAAGUCAGUGGUGAAAUCUCCAGGCUUAACCUGGAAACUGCCGUUGAUACUAUAGGUCUUGAAUUUUGUGGAGGUUAGCGGAAUAUGUCAUGUAGCGGUGAAAUGCAUAGAUAUGACAUAGAACACCAAUUGCGAAGGCAGCUGGCUACACAACUAUUGACGCUGAGGCACGAAAGCGUGGGGAUCAAACAGGAUUAGAUACCCCGGUAGUCCCUGUCUCUUAUAA